CAUCAACACAACACACAGAGCAACUGAUACUGGAUGCAUUACACCUGCCAAAUCUGACAGUACACCAAUACUCUUAUUCUUUUAGUCCUUAUUCUGGUCUGUAUUCUGUCUGUAUCCCAGCUCCCAAGCACUUCAAGUUUCUUAAAACAUGCACACACAACAAUAAAGAAAAAUGUAUACUAGACAACCUCCAUCUCAUCAAACUAAGACUCACUAAUAAACAGCAACAAACAGACACAGCUGAUAAUUGAUUUGACGAUUCCAGAAUAGUAUAGGUUGAGAACUAAGGAGUGAUUUAUGUGUAGUCAGUGACAAACUUUAAAACUUUAGGAUCCCUCUUGGUGAAAUCCCAACAUGCUGUCAGCUGAGAAGCUCAUUUUCUAAAAUUACCGGGCAAUUACCGCAUACCCCUAAUCAAGUGAUUAAAAAGUAAUGAGCAGCCCAAAUGAAACAGCCACUCAUAAAACUGUGUGUCACUGCCUGGAGCACAAACCUCUUCACUAUUUCUAAAGAUACGGUUUGAUAUUUAAUCAAAGUUGAACAUUUCUCAAAACAUUAAUACCCUACUGAAAAUUUGGAGCAUUGGCUAACCCGUGGCUAAUCUCAGCUCAUGCAACAGCCAGAAUAUUCAAGAAUACAGACCACCUCAACAGCUUGUGUCGACUUCUGAACCGACUGUACACUUCACCUUUAAAACAAAGAUGGCGACCGGAAAUUAACUACUUCUGCCGGAUUUCACAACAAA